UGACUAUUUGUCCUAGAGUCUGGCAGUCUUUCCCUAGGCAGCUUGUGCAUGAAUUAUUACAAUGUUCCUAAUGCAAGGAUCAACAAAACACCCUGUCUUAUUAAAAACAAGAUUUUCAAAAUUAUUAUUUAUGUAUAGAGUUGCCUACUAAGAUGUUGGUUUUAGUUACAGUGUUUGCUAUAUUUCAUACGCUCCAAUUUCUGUUUCUGUAUCAGCCAGGGACCUCUCUUGGAACUUUUGUAAGAAGGAAAUUCAAAUAGCAAGCAAAACUAUGUAUUCCAAAUAAUUUUGGAGUUGUUGAGAGCUUACAGUUUUAAGGUUGAAUAUCCGUACACCAGAUUAGAGUUAAGUAUCACUCUGGAACCAAAAAUACCUUUUUUGUCCCCUACUGGGAAAAAAACCCCAAUUCUAUUAUUGGCCUAAGUUUCUGACUUAGAUUUACGUAAAAUUAAGUUGGAUGCAUGUUUUCACAUUUCUAAUUGUUUCUUCACCUUUAACUACUAUAAUUAGAGCUGUAUUACAGAUGAGGGAGAUAAAAAGGUUAAGUACCAACACAUUAAAAAUAAAAAAAAACCCUGUUCAAAACACGUCUCAAAUAUGUAGAGCACAGGUUACAUAAAAGUAAGUGGUAUAAAAGUUUUAAUUAUGUUAACAUUGGCCAGACUGUAUCAUUCACCUUGAACUGAACCAUUCAAAUCUUGCAUUCUGACUCUGACAGUGGGUGAGCAAGGGUCAAUGCACAUAUAACAUACAAAUACCCAGUCAAUCAGCUGUAUUCACCAAGUAAUUAUGUAAGGUGUUUCAUCAUCUCUGCCUCCUCAUAUCUCUGCUUAUGAGCUGAGUCUGGGAGUUGCCCUCACCAUCUGCACCACAGCUGCAGCCUGCUCUUGCAGUGCAGUGACCAAGUGCAACCUCCCCUGCAAAGGGGAAAUCUCCAGGGCAGUCUGGGGGUCUCUCUUUAAGAAUGUCCCCUGUUGCUGCCUGAAAAGACAAAGAGAGAGAGAUAAAACUAGAAUAAUAUAAGGCUGAUGAUCAUAAUCAAUGCUCAGUUCUCCUCGAAAUUCAAGUAGUUAGAUAAAGAAUUUGCUCUUUUUCUCCUAUAGAGAAUCAUACAGCUCCAAUGUGAUAAAAAGGUAUUAUUAUGGAAAAGCAGUUAAACAAAACAACGUAUUUUAUUGUCAUAAAAUCACAAUAUAACCCAUAAAAGAUUAAUAUUUUUAAGCAUAAGUGUCUGUGAAAUACAUAAAGUAGCUGAAAGAAAUGCUUUAUUGGGAUGUGAUAGCCAUUCAUUGAAUAGGUUAUCAGCUUAAUACAUCAAAGCAAGGCAAGUUUCCUGUGAACAAGAUUUGGGUUUACUGAUCCUAAAGCACCUACGACAUUAGGAAACAAAAUCUGAAGAAAAAAAGCACUCUACUUUUUUUGUAAAAUAUGUCCUACCAUUUUAUGUACAGAAAAAGACAUAGAUAUUAAAAAGUUACAGAAAACCAAAAAACCAACCCAAACAAACAACACAAGAGCAGAACAGACAAAUGCAUAUUUAAAAAAUAAAGGUAAUAAUAUUAGAUAAACAUAGAAGAUUACAUGGUCUACUGCAUGCUGGAGAGUCCUUUUCAGCAACUAACAAUGUUGUUAUGUUUAAUUCCCAGUUCUGCCUUUAAAUAUUUACAUCACUGUUUUUACUAACCCUUCUACUGUUAAAAGCUCUGCUGAUCUGAAUGGUGGUAAGGAUUCAAGAUUAGCAAGAUUUGGGUUGGUUGAGGAACAAAUUACUUGCAGCAUCUAGUUAGAAAUUGCUUCUCCAUUGCCUUUAUAGUCUCCUUUCUUAUUUUUUUCCCUAAUAAAUGGCUCACAAACAGUGGCUAUAUUAGACAACAGUGAUUAGGCCUAAACAAUUUUUUAAAAGGAAUCCAUUAAAAACCCUUUUUGUAGCCCUUAUCUUUAUUGUGGGCUGUUUAGAGACUCCAUCAUGAAGACCUGUGAAAGCUAUAAAGCCUGUAUUCUAGGAAAAUACAUACAAGCAUGAGAAUAAUUUGAACAUUGUGUAUAUAAGCAAUCAGUCCUUCUAAGACCAAGCCAUAAAUUUGCACAACUAAGAAUUUGCUAGGGUCUAUAAACUGGUAUAGUCCUGUAGUCUAAUACAAAUGUGCUUUUUCAAUUUUGUGUAGUUCAGACUGAAAAGAAUUGCUUAAAAAUCACAUAUUUGAACAAAAAGACAUUAAAUUAGAAUCUUUCACUGAAAAGCAUUAUUGCUAGAAAAGAAUGUAAUAAAUCCAAAACAAGUUUCAUCUGAAGAAAAAUUAAAAGAAAGAAAAAUAUUUACAGAGAAUUUUGGACCUGAUUUGCAAUAGGAAACACGUUUUUUACAGAAUGAAAAUUAGUUUCGUCUCAUAUGGAAAGUAUAUAGCUGUCCUUGUCCUUCAGCCUCUUCACUCCUUGCAUAGUGCAGCACUUUUUAGGGUUGUUCUAGCAUUUGGGAAUUCCAAAAUUCUCUAGCAUUCCCUCUUCAUGCCUCCCAAUUCCUCCAAUUUAGCAAACAGUUGUGGAAGAACAGAGCACACAUAACACGCUUUUACUACUGAAAACAAUUAAAUAAAGUAUUAACAUUUGCACUCCUUUAUCAGUAGUCACGUUUUUACUAUUGAAAACAAUUAAAUAAAGUAUUAACAUUUGCACUCCUUUAUCAGUAGUUCCAAAAUGAGAUAGUAAAUAAAGUUGCAACCUAAUUAAACCAUAUUCAUGUUACCGUAUCUAUUUUUUACCAAGUGUCCUAGACAGCUGUACCUUACAAAACAGAUAUCAGAGAUGUCUAAAGAGUAAAUUCUCAUUAGGGAGGUACUAUUCAGCAUGCAUCUUCUUGUACUCAUAUAAAAAAUGUUUAAAAUGCAAUUUUACAGCUCCUUUUGUAGCAAAGUACAAAUAAGUAAAGCAGAAUAAAAAUAUGUUUCCUGUUCAUUGUUAGCAUGAGAUAUUUCUCCAGUGACAAAAGCAAGGGAGUCCCACAUGGAAUGCUAUUAUUUCUGUCUUAUCAUCUCACAGUGAGAUACCACAAGUCCCAGCAUAUUAGGGUUUUUCUUAUCUUCCCACUCUAGUGGUCAUGUGCCUAUAUCAGAGUCCCAGAUUUCACUCUAAAACAGAAAUGCUCUUGCACUCAAUUUAGGGUGUGAAUUGAUUCAUGACUCUUCACAGCUUGUGUUGCUGGUACAGUUUCUAACCUACUUUAAUAUCAUUAUCUAAUAGCAAUAAGAGAUUUUGAUAGCAUAAGCAACAACUCAGAAGCGUAACUAGCUCACACAACAGAAAUUUACUGGAAAAAAACCUGUAUUUCAAGCACUUAACCAUGGCUGCUGUUUCAAAAACCUGUGACUGGCACCUUAUUUCAUCCCCAAACAUGUCAUUUUGACUCAUUCAUCAAAAGCACUUACUUCAGUCUCAGGCAGCUGCAAAACCGUUUGAGGUUAUCUUGCCAGAGAAGGAGCCUUCAUAUCCUGCUUGACUUAAAAAGCACCUUUGCUCUUUACAUACCGGAAGGUAAAUACACUAUAAAAAUGCCAAGGCCCACCACAGUUCAGAUAUUUGAGAGCCUCAUGAAGAAAAGGCACACAGAGAACCUGAGUAGAUGCUGCCCAUGAACUUUUCAAAGAAUGCAAGAACAUAAUUCUUGCGUCUCUGAGGUGAGCAAGUCAUCAGCUCACUCCUAAUUCAUUCUGCUCUUAACAAGCUUAUAGAGCAAACCACUACAGAGAAAUGUGUGCUUUAAAGAGAGACCAACAGCACCACCACACCCCAGCCAUGCUGUGAAUCUUCUCAGGAGACAAGAGCUAUGCAUGGCACUGUGUAGCAUUUAUUAUUAACAGUAAGCAGCAGCAGCAAUAUAAUUAAAAAUUCCUCUCAUUUCUUUCAGUUUGCAAAGCAAAGGAUGAGCAGAUUUGAACAAUGUUCCUAAGGAUAAAGCAAAUACCCAGUCAGACUCCAGAGAUGGGACCUUCUUAGCGAAUGUUAUGUUCGUGUUGAGAUCUCCCUGUUCAUGAAGAUAGGGGGUCCUACCAGAAAUGAUAACAGAUGCUUACGUUUACCAGCAUUAGCAGAUGCCACUUUAUUAAAGACAGCAUUGGAAUGAACUCCACGAGUUUGAAUUUCAUAAAGUUUGUUAAGGAAAUAUUUUUGAAAACAGAGAGAGAAACUGUGUUCUAAUGAUGUUCACAUGUUUCCCCAAAGAAUGAAAGCUGAUAUGUGCAGGCGUCGAAAGCAUUACAUUCUAAUUUCAUUACAGCGGGGGAAGGUACCUAGAAAAAGCACAAAAGUAAAUGCUGUUGACCUCCCUGACAAGAGGCUGAAAAGGAACCUGCUCUGGGAAGCCAAGACUUUUUGCCUCUGUAACAACUGGGUAGGUGAUGGCUGUCUUGGAAAAUUUAUGGUAUCAUAUUAUUUAUAGCAGAUGUCCUCUAAAAGCAAACAGUUUUGCUUUAUGCUCCACAAAUCUUAUGGAUAAUUGAACAAUGUAAUGUGGAGGCUCAGUAUUGCUGCAAAUAUCAACAUAAUUUUCUAAAAUCGAUUAUGAGUGAAAAGAGAAAAAAAAUGUCCUGAUACUGAUCCAAGGCUCGAAGAUAAAAGGUUAAUCAAAACAAGACCUUUGUCUGUGCUUUCUAGAAACUUGUUGUUUUAAGUGGAAAAGGUAAAAGUUGAAACUUUGUAUGGAGCCCACUAAUUAAAUUAUCAUUUACCCCAAAUGAGUCUUGCAGUUCCAAUAAAGAUGAUCAGAUGACAAAAUAAGCCUUAAGUAGCACAAGCAGUUAUGGUCAUAGACCUAUAACCCAAGAGUUUAUUUUGGAUAUGUAACUUUUUGUUCAGGCGUAGUCCUACUUGCAUCUCUUACUAUAACUAAGUGAAACAAGUUCAAAUGAUCAAUUCCAUUUUCUUAGUGGAACCCAUAUGAUAAACUUCUUGUUCACUUCAGCUAUGGUGCUUUUUUCUUGAGAAGGCAUUGAUGAGCUGCAUCUUGCAGAAACAGCAUCAUCUCAAACCAUUUAAAAGAUUCAAGAGCAAUUAAAUCCGACAUAAUCCCAUGGAAAAGUUUUAUCAAUAGAGAGGAUGGAUUAAACAGGAAGCAUCACCUUUCAAUAUCAAAACUUUAAUUUCUGAUGUUAAACUCCUUCCAGUUUCAAAAGAUAAAACUUGAAGCCCUUGGAUGUGAACAAAACUGCUGUUGAUGGAGUGUUUGUUUCCUUCAUUUUUCCUCUAAUUAGCAAAGUUGAAGGUGGAAAUAAAUGAAUUUUUUGAAAGUAAAAUAGAAAUGGACAGAAAAAAUACAUCUGUGAAUUUGCUGUUCAUUAUGCAUGGUUUGUAAGAAUGCAUAUUUCAAAAAGAAAGUAUUAAAGUAAUUCUGCUGUUCUGUUUUGCAGGUCUUCCUGACAGUUUAAGCAAAAAAAGGGUUUAAUCUCUCUGGAUUGCAAAAACAGAAACCCCUGACAAGGACAAGAGAUUGGCAGAAUUCGAGAGGACAUACAAGAGUGGAAAUAUUUCACCUCACUUCCAAUCUUGGUUGAAUACAUCAGAAGUAAACAAGAAAUCAGUUUAUUAGGAUGGACUAUGUAACAUCCAUCAAGGAAAAUCUUUUAUAACCUACAUUGAACACAGACCAGGAUCCUCUCCUUCUGUUUCCUGACUUCGAUUCACAUGUCUAAAAGGGUCUUACAUUAAUGCUUAUUUCCCCAGUACUUUUUACACAUUCCACUGUAUAAACUGUAUUUUGAACAUCACUUGUCUCGCCCAUACAUGCUGUAGGAAGGUAGUGCUUUCCCCAUUGUUAUAGUCACACUACUGUAAUCCUGGAUAUUUUUCAGCAAGAAGGUUUCAUCAGUUUGCAAAGUGAAGGCAUGCAUGGAAACUAGCACUUAACAGACAUUAUUCCCCAAUAAUUUUUUUUUCUGCAACAAGACUACCGUUCUUGCUUAUAUCAACCAGGUCUGAUUCCACCCUUGUUGCAAAAGAGUGGUUUCCACCAGAUAAGGUGCCAGUUUCCUUUGGUAGUUAUAUGGGCAAAGCUAACACAAACAUUUUACAACCAGAUCUAGCACUGUAACUUUGUCCUUAAGAGAGGUGAAGCUGUCAUCGUGCAGCUGGAGCAGAGUUCUUGCUGCGGGCUGAGACCUAAAUACUGCAAGUUUGUUGUUCUUACCAUGUAGAGCUGGAGACUUGACUGGCUUAUGAUGUCAAACACACUUCAGGAUGAGUCUGUCCUAAUGAGCAUAAUAUAGUAUGGUCAUCCAUUCCACAGCAUAGUUGGGAUCUGUGUCAGAGCUUGUGACCAUACUAAUGCAUUGUCCAUAUGGUUAUAUAAAUACAAAAGCUUACUGCUUUUUAUUCUGUUUUUAAAGGAAACAGGGUCAUAUUAAGUGAUUGCUGCUGCUUCAUCUGUCACGGUGGACUCACAAAAUAUAUUUGAAUCUCAUAUUUACUGGUAGAAAGAGCAAUAUCUGCGUUAGUAGGUUACCUUUAACUUCAAUGUCUUUUCUUUGGGAAAAGGAACUAGAAAAGGGGGGAAACUUAACCAAAUAAUAAAUUAAAUUAAAUUGCUAAUAGUGAUUAUGGCAUUUUUAAUUUCCACCCUAGGGACCAGAGUGAGACAAAGGGAUACAGAAAGUAUAUCUGAAAGUGAAAUCCAGUGCCAGGACUCUUCAGAUCAGUCCAAAUUGGUUUGUGCGCAUUGAAAAAAUCCUCGCAAGGGGAAAGGAGUAUUUCACUCAGAUGCUGUCCGAUCUCUGGAUCUUUGAUCCUCAAGCACUUCUCUGUCCUUGUACAGCCCCUAGCACCUUGGAUAUCCAGGAGCACUCUAGGGUUGUGGAAUAAUUAAUUGCACAUGCAGGGAGGAAUAAACUCCGAAGAGUUUAUACAAUUGUCUUCAGAACCUUGCAGAAGCAGUCCUUAUUGACAGUAAUGAAACCACACAAAGUUUUGUUAAUUAAUAAUGCUCAGUGAUGAAAGGGUGUGGGGAAGAGAAUCAAACAAAAACCAAUGAAGAGAUGGCACUGGAAGUUACAGAAUUACUGAAUUUAGAAAGGGAUGAGGUGCGGGAUUUGGCUGAUUAAGUUGAUACUCUUGAGCUUGAAGGUUCCUGAUGUCUUUUUCCACACAGAAGGGAGGUGUUUUGAAAAGGAAUUCUCAGUCUGUGGUGUAUCAAAAAUACAUGUUGCUCAGCACUGAGGUGUUGUCCAGUGUGCUCUGCUCACCUCUGCUAGCAUGGGACAGGGCUGUGCAGAGCUAGGAGAGAACCCUUCAGGGCACUCAGAAUGCGAGCAGAAAAAGUGAAAGCAAGCACUCCAGUGUCUUUAACUGCUAUGCUCUUCUUAUUUAACCCUUCCUUCAGUGCAGCAAGAAUUUGUCACAGGAACUGGGUACUGGAUAUUCAAGUGGAAGACCCAGGAUAUGGCCCACCACUGAGCUGCCAUCUGCACCUCUCCACUCACUGCAAGGCUGCUGAGUGCCGGCACUGCUAUGAGCUAAGGAACAGGUCAUGAUAACAGAUGCUUUGGGCCCCACAAGUGGGUAGUCAGUUCUUCCCAGUGCCCUCUCACAAUUAAUGUUGGCUUGUAAAGUCUUAAGUCAACUUCUGUUCUGGUGAAUCCCACGUAAGUAUGUAUAUAGUUUGACGUUCCGAUUUAGACACAGCAGAAUGUACACUCAGUGACUCAUUUCCUUGUCUGAACGAGUGUGAAUUAAAAUCAAGAACUCUCAAAUUAUUUCAGUGUUUCAAGUCAUUUCAUCGACAAGUUUUCAACUCCUCUCAGAUCAAUUACUUAGCCAGAGAACUGAAAAACAAAAUUUUUGUAAAAUAAAGUAUUUUACCAGUGAUAGCAAUGUUUCUUCUUCUCUGAAAUGUCUCUUUUGAGAGUGGAAAGAAUUUGAGGGGCUUCUUGAUGGAAAGAGGAUUAUUUAGAUAAAAGGUCCCCAACCCUGCUUUCGAAUUUUCUCUGCAAUUCGCUUACUUAAUAAGAUUAUGGAAACAGAUACCAUUUUGUUGUUGUUGUUUUAAAUUUGUUUAAUUUAGUCAUGAUGCUAAAUCAUUUCCAGAAUUCUUCAUGCAGUAAAGUAAUUUGAGAUUUUCAGAGAAUAGUCAUUGAGGCCUUAUCUAAAUACCAAAUUCCCUACCUGUAGAGUGGAAAUCAUAAUGCCAAAUCUAUUUUUUGGAGAAAGUCUAAAGUUUGGGAAAUUCUAAAGAAAAGUGUUGUAUGAAAUGUAUACAUACAUAAUAUUUGUAUUACAUUUCCAAAUAAUUUAUUUAUUUAAAAAUACAUAAUAUAAUUAUAGACUUCCUGAUAUUAUUUAAAAUUAUAUUUAUUAACUCUAUUAUUCAUAUACAUUUUAAUAUCAAAAGCAAAAUCCUGAUGAAAAAUGCCCAAAGGGUUUCCAAUUAAUGUUAUUCACUUAUUGUCAGGUUCUACCACCACUGACAGCAACUUCAUAGAGAUGUUAAUGAAUUUUACAUGAUAUUCAUGAGAAUGAAUGUCUUUCUCAUCGAAUAAGAUGUACGAGGUUCUGGCCAGAAAAGUGUAACUGAGUUUGCAAAAAUGUUAAGAGGUAGUACAUUUCUGAGAGAACAAUUUGCAGUGUGCAUGGAAGAAAGCUGAUAGUACUUUAUUAUACUGUAAAUUACAUAAUUUUUCUCCAUAUACUGUAUUUCUAGAGAAAUAGGAGAGGGAAUUUGCCUUGGUUUAAUGCCUUUUUCAGGGGUACUGGACACAGAUGGGUACAUUUGUAUCAGUCUAAAGUGUUGUGUCAAGGAAGAUAAAAGUCGCUAUAAAUAAAAUUCCACGGCAUUUCAGUCUUCGCUCUUACAAAAUGCUGGAUGAAAAAAGUCACCAACAACUAAAAUAAAAACCAAUUUUAUUUCAUUUUUCUUUGGUAGAAACAAUUGCAGAAAAAUAUUGCUGAAUUUCUAUUUUUGGCAAAAAAAGUAGUUUUAUUUAUUAAUUAUAACAAAAGUUUUUGUUCCAUUUUCUACUUGAUUCUCUAUAAUCUGUUUCCUUUAAAUACAGUCUCUCUUUAUAGCCACAAGAAUAAAUACAGCCUGAUUCAGAUGUGUGACAUUCCAUUGAAGUCAACAGAGCUGCCUUUCUAUGACGGAUUUUUCUUUCCAUCUCUGUGUCAUAUGUAGUCAUGUCAGUGUGAUUCAAGACAAAUGAGCUCUCCACACAGGCCAGAUCCUGACAGGUACUGAGUGCCUGAAACUCAAACCAGCUUCAAAGGAAGCACUCAUUACCUCCUGGAAUAUCUGGCUCAAAAUACAGUAUUUCCUUGUAUUUCUCCAUAAUUACCCUAGGAAAUACUUCGAAUAGUACAAAUAUUGAGUUUAGCCAACUGCCAGAGCCAGCCUUAGUGGUCUUGGAUAGAUCUGUGACAAGUUGCAUUUGGUUCUUUUUUGACACCUUUUUCUCUCCUCUUCCUUCUCUACCAUGCACACACAACAACCAUUUUUCAUGUAACUGUGCCCUGUAAACCCAAAAUAUGUUUUAGGGGUCUUUUGGGGGUUAAGAUACAGACUUGCACUGUGCACAAAGGCUGAGUCCACAUAUGUGCCUCUGUCUCAGCGUUUUUGGGGCAGGUGAUAUCUCUAAUCCCCAGAAUGCUUUCUUUUUGCAAAAGUGGAACCUGGCUGCCUCUAGCUGUCAUCAGCUUGCAGUAGUCCCUGUUAUAAUAAAGGAAAAUGCCAGCAAUAAACCUAUGUCACCUGCUCCAGGAAUUGAAAUGUUCCUCUCCUUUCCCAGCCAUCCCACAGCAGUCAAUGUUCUGGGCUGCGAUUCGUCCAAGAUCAAUUUUUCAAAAACCUGCUAGGUACAUCCGGUAGUGCUUUAUAAAUUACUCUUGUUCUUGCAGAGGAAGUUUUGGAGCUCAACCCACUACAGCAGCAAAGACCUGCGUUCAGCUAUAGAUAAGGGAGAGAAACAGAGCUGGGUUAUUUCAACCUGAGCCAGGACUGGCAGAGGAGAGAGCUCUGCUGUGCAGUUCCCUAGCUUGAAACAGCACCUACAUGACAUGACUGAACCUGCCCUCAGCUUCUUUCAGCUGCUCAGUGCUGUUGCAAACAACAGCACCUUUGACAAUCCAGCCCAAAAUAAUCCAAAUUAUAUUUGCAGUGGUAAACAUUUCUAAGGCUUCUGGAUGUGAACAAAUGGACAUAAUCCUCCUUACCCCUUCCCAGUUUUUCCAAAGACACGACUUGUCUGCAUAAAUCAGAUCUGCUGAAUAAAGUGCCAGUACUGUAAUAAAACCAUGAAUAUUAAUAACAGGACAAAGCAUACGACAAGGUGUCACGAGAGAGUGACACAGUAAGGAAAAGGUGGAUAAGCUUUACACUCUUCAUGGAGUAAUUUCUUUGCAUUACAUAACCCAGUGGAAAAGGCUAAAGUGAUUGUUUAAAUUCAAUCUUCAAUAUUGCUUCUCUGCAAAAAUAAAUGUGAUGAAUUAAAAAGUAAGACUUGCAUGAAGAAUAGGUUUGCCUGAAUUCCUGAGCAAACAGAAAACUAGUCCAGAAAGAUUUCUUUAAAGACCGAUCAACUAAUUUGUUUGACCUUAUUAACUCUUCCUUAGCAAUUUUGUUGAUUUUUGCCCAUCAACCCUUUGCUUCAAAUCAGCUUCGACGCUUAUAAGGAAUACAGUUUGGUAGUAUGCAAAUCACUUUUAAUGAAAAAGAGCUUCCUAAAGGCAGCCAAAGAACUGAAAGAAAUUCAUCCAGGUGCUGCCCAAACUGUUUUCAUUCACUUCCGAAAGGCAGGAGUUGGGUUGCUAAAACAAGUAGUGAGAGGAAGUAAUAGAAAUACUUCAGGGAACAAGAGUCCCUGG